AACGCUUAGUGACCUAGCAACGUCUGAAACACAAACAGUACAUAUUCUUCACUGUCUGUUGCAAUUCGCCUACGUAUGCUAACUCAUAAGACAAACAUCACACAUUCAACCAGCUAAUUGUUAAUGCUAGUUAAACUUACCCGUUGUUUUGUUUGUCUGUUGCGCUCUGCUCUUCUAUCUUCUUCCAUCAUAUUAAUUAGGAUCAUAUUACGCUGGAGCCUUCGUGUUCUGUGUUUCUCUGUUAAGUACUCCAGCCUAGUCUUUAAACGCCGCCGUUCGAACUCCAUUAUGAGGAUCCCGGCAAGGCACAACAGGAACAUUCCGAUGGCCUCCUCCAUGCUGGUUUGUUAUUGUAUGUGGCGCUAAAGUCAACACAGGCUGAUGUUGUC